rnacentral:rRNA from 1 species
GCCUAAUACAUGCAAGUCGAGCGAACAGAGAAGGAGCUUGCUCCUUUGACGUUAGCGGCGGACGGGUGAGUAACACGUGGGCAACCUACCUUAUAGUUUGGGAUAACUCCGGGAAACCGGGGCUAAUACCGAAUAAUCUGUUUCACCUCAUGGUGAAAUAUUGAAAGACGGUUUCGGCUGUCGCUAUAGGAUGGGCCCGCGGCGCAUUAGCUAGUUGGUGAGGUAACGGCUCACCAAGGCGACGAUGCGUAGCCGACCUGAGAGGGUGAUCGGCCACACUGGGACUGAGACACGGCCCAGACUCCUACGGGAGGCAGCAGUAGGGAAUCUUCCACAAUGGGCGAAAGCCUGAUGGAGCAACGCCGCGUGAGUGAAGAAGGAUUUCGGUUCGUAAAACUCUGUUGUAAGGGAAGAACAAGUACAGUAGUAACUGGCUGUACCUUGACGGUACCUUAUUAGAAAGCCACGGCUAACUACGUGCCAGCAGCCGCGGUAAUACGUAGGUGGCAAGCGUUGUCCGGAAUUAUUGGGCGUAAAGCGCGCGCAGGUGGUUUCUUAAGUCUGAUGUGAAAGCCCACGGCUCAACCGUGGAGGGUCAUUGGAAACUGGGAGACUUGAGUGCAGAAGAGGAUAGUGGAAUUCCAAGUGUAGCGGUGAAAUGCGUAGAGAUUUGGAGGAACACCAGUGGCGAAGGCGACUAUCUGGUCUGUAACUGACACUGAGGCGC